CUCACGGAGAGUUCAAUCCUGGCUCAAGAAGAACGGUGGCGGAAUGCCUUACACAUGCAAGUCAGACAUGAAGUGGUGUUUCCACCGGUGGACAGGUGAGUAACAUGUAAGAACCUACCCUUGGGAGGGGAAAAACAUGUGGAAAAAACUGCUAAUAACCCGUAGGUUGAGGAGCAAAAGGAGGAAUCCGCCCGAGGAGGGGCUCACAUCUGAUUAGCUAGUUGGCAGGGCAAUAUCUUACCAAGGUGAUGAUCAGUAGCUGGUCCGAGAGGAUGACCAGCCACACUAGGACUGAGACACGGCCCAAACAACUACGGGAGGAAGCAGUGGGGAAUUUUCCUCAAUGGGCGAAAGCCUGAUGGAGCAAUGUCGUGUGGAGGUAGAAGGCCUCUGGGUCAUGAAAUUCAUUUCCCAGAGAAUAAGCAAUGGCGGUAUCCCGGGAUUAAGCAUCCGCUAACUUUGUGCUAGCAUCCGCUGUAAGAUAGAGGAUGCAACCGUUAUCCAGAAUGAUUAGGCGUAAAGCAUCUGUAGGUGGCUUUUUAAGUUCGCCGUCAAAUCCUAGUGCUCAACCCUGGAAAGGCGGUGGAAACUACCAAGAUAGAGUAUGGUAGGGGAAGAGGGAAUUUCGAAUGGAGCAGUGAAAUGCGAAGAGAUCGGAAAGAACACCAACGGUGAGAAUUUCCGAUGGAUAUUAGGCGUUGUGCGUAUCGGCCCAUGCAAUACUCUAGCUAACACGUUAAGUAUCUCGCUUGGGGAGUACGUUCAGAAUAAUGAAACUCAAAUGAAUUGACGGGGGGCCGCACAAGCGGUGGAUCAUGUGGUUUAAUUCGAAUCAAAACGAAGAAACUUACCAAGGCUUGACAUGUCACGAAUCCUCUUGAAAGAUAGGGGUGCCUUUGGGAACACGGAGACAGGUGGUGCUUGGCUGUCAUCAGUUCUUGCCGUAAGGUGUUGGGUUAAGUCUCGCAACAAGCUCAACCCUCGUGUUUAGUCGCCAACAUUGAGUUUGGAACCCUGAGCAAACUGUCGGUGAUAAGCCGGAAGAAGGUGAGGAUUACGUCAAGUUAUCAUGCCCCUUAUUCCCUGAGCGACACACAUGCUACAAUGGUCGGGAGAAAGGAUCGUGAUCCCGCUAGGGUGAGAUAACUGCAAAAACUAGUUCACAGUUCGGAUUGUAGGCGGCAACUCGCCUGCAUGAAGCCGAAAUCGCUACUAAUUGCCGAUCAGCCAUACGACGGUGAAUUCGUUCUCGGUCCUUGUACGCACCGCCUGUUACACUAUGAGAGUUGGCCAUUCCCAAAGUCAUUACCUUAAUCGCAAGGAGGGGAUGCUGAAGGUAGGGCUAGUGAUUGGAGUGAAGUCGUAACAAGGUAUUCAUAUGAGAUGGUGCGGCUGGAUCACCUCCUUU